GAUCAUUCGGACUACCUACUGCUCCCUUCUCUGUGGUUCCAUGCUCCUGGCUUCUCUUCGAAGGAAGCACUUAGUUAAGUUUGCCAUUUGCUACAGUCCCAUCUGAAGCUCCCUUGUGUUUGCAUGUUAAGACCAAAUAUAAACGACUAUUGGAUUUACUUCCGGUUUCUGAACGCCUGGUCUAUCUGUGACUAUGGCUAUCAGGCUAUGGGGAUGUACAGCAAUUAAUAAUACAUGUAGUUUACAACCUAGAUACUUAUUAUCUGGAACUCAUUGAAUACUUUUCUUUAAUAUUUAAUUUGUGUUUUUUCCUAAGUCUGCAGUGCCUGUUUGGUCUCAGCAGUUGCACUAUUGAGGUUUACCAAAUUGUACUUUACAUUGGCUUUCAAAGGACAAGUGGCACUAAUUCCAAAAGCAAACCAUUUUUUGGCAGAAGUGUAUUGUCCAGUGUAUUGAAGUGUAUUGGUUUGCAUUAAACCAAUUACUUGAAACGUCAGGCAUAAAUAAUGUUUCUUUCAAGCCAAAUGGAAAGCAGAACUCUCACACAUGCAAACCCUAAACGGAGUCAAACAUCAACUGAUCACCUCUGCAUGUACUCAUCCAUGUUAGCAGCACUCCAUGUGUGGAUAAUGCACCCCUGUGAUGUUCAGCUGGAACUAAUUGACCUGCAGUCUGAUGCGAUACUGGCACUUUAAAUCAGAUUCACUGCUGGAUUUUUACUCUUCUCUCAAGGAACACAACUUUCCAAACAUGAGAAGACAUGCUCAGAAGAUGUUGGUUCUCUUUGGCUCUACCUACAUAUGUGAACAAACAUUCUCAGUGAUGAUGUUUAACAAAUACAGGUAUAGAUCCUCUCACUGAUGAUCAUCUGUCAGCUGUGCUUUGCAUCUCCACAUUCAACCUGACUUUGAUGCACUCGUUAAAGCCCAGCAGAGACAAGAUUUUCCCACUGAAAAAUAAUGAGUCACAAUGGUAAAAAUGUUCUCGUUUUGUAAAAAAUUAAUUAAAUGCCUUUU